UAGGGAAUCUUCGGCAAUGGGGGGAACCCUGACCGAGCAACGCCGCGUGAGUGAAGAAGGUUUUCGGAUCGUAAAGCUCUGUUGUUAAGGAAGAACGAGUGUGAGAAUGGAAAGUUCAUGCUGUGACGGUACUUAACCAGAAAGGGACGGCUAACUACGUGCCAGCAGCCGCGGUAAUACGUAGGUCCCGAGCGUUGUCCGGAUUUAUUGGGCGUAAAGCGAGCGCAGGCGGUCAAUUAAGUCUGAUGUGAAAGCCCCCGGCUCAACCGGGGAGGGUCAUUGGAAACUGGUUGAAUUGAGUGCAGAAGAGGAGAGUGGAAUUCCAUGUGUAGCGGUGAAAUGCGUAGAUAUAUGGAGGAACACCAGUGGCGAAGGCGACUCUCUGGUCUGUAACUGACGCUGAGGUUCGAAAGCGUGGGUAGCAAACAGG
rnacentral:rRNA from 1 species